rnacentral:rRNA from 1 species
AUUAACGCUGGCGGUGUGUUUAAUACAUGCAAGUCGAGCGCCGACUUCGGUCGGAGCGGCGAACGGGUGAGUAAUACUUUGGAACCUGCCCCGAACUCAGGGAUAACAUCUAGAAAUAGGUGCUAAUACCGGAUAGUCCCGCAAGGGUAAAGAUUUAUCGGUUCGGGAGGGGCCUUAGGCCUAUCAGCUUGUUGGUGAGGUAAUGGCUCACCAAGGCUAUGACGGGUAGCUGGUCUGAGAGGAUGAUCAGCCACAAUGGAACUGAGACACGGUCCAUACUCCUACGGGAGGCAGCAGUAAAGAAUCUUUCGCAAUGGGGGAAACCCUGACGAAGCAACACCGCGUGGGCGAUGAAGGUCGAAAGAUCGUAAAGCCCUUUUCUGGGGGAAUAAUUUUGAAGGUACCCCAGGAAUAAGCACCGGCUAACUCUGU